rnacentral:rRNA from 1 species
AGCGGCGAAAGGGAGAGUAACGCGUGGGUUAUCUACCCAGGGGUCCGGGAUAGCCGCGGGAAACUGCGGGUAAUACCGGAUGACGUCUGCGGACCAAAGGUGUGAUUCCGCCCCUGGAGGGGCCCGCGUCCUAUUAGCUAGUUGGUGGGGUAAUGGCCUACCAAGGCGAUGAUGGGUACUGGGUGUGAGAGCACGACCCAGCUCACUGGGACUGAGACACUGCCCAGACACCUACGGGUGGCUGCAGUCGAGGAUCUUCGGCAAUGGGCGCAAGCCUGACCGAGCGACGCCGCGUGCGGGAUGAAGGCCUUCGGGUUGUAAACCGCUGUCGGAGGGGAUGAAAUGCCGUGGGGUACUCCCCACGGUUUGACAGAGCCUCGGAGGAAGGACGGGCUAAGUUCGUGCCAGCAGCCGCGGUAAGACGAACCGUCCAAACGUUAUUCGGAAUCACUGGGCUUAAAGGGUGCGUAGGCGGCGCGGAAAGUGGGGUGUGAAAUCCCUCGGCUCAACCGAGGAAUAGCGCUUCAAACUACCGUGCUUGAGGGAGACAGAGGUGAGUGGAACUUAGGGUGGAGCGGUGAAAUGCGUUGAUAUCCUAAGGAACACCAGUGGCGAAAGCGACUCACUGGGUCUCUACUGACGCUGAGGCACGAAAGCUAGGGUAGCGAACGGGAUUAGAUACCCCGGUAGUCCUAGCUGUAAACGAUGAGCACUGG